rnacentral:lncRNA from 1 species
CACAGAUGGAGAAUUAUACUCUGGCACAGCAGCUGACUUCAUGGGGCGAGACUUUGCUAUAUUCCGGACUCUGGGGCACCACCACCCAAUCAGGACAGAGCAGCAUGAUUCCAGAUGGCUCAAUGGUAGGUGGUAUGUGCAAGAACUCAGGCACGUAACCUCUGUAUUAAAUCACUGGGAACUUUCCCUUUAUAGUGUAUACAACAUGACUUGAGAUUUAGUGUGUUGUUAAGCUCAUGGUGGUGACUUCAUGACUGGGUGUGAGAAAGUUGGGCAAAAAGAGAAAAGAGAGAUUAAAAUUUCAGGAAGUACAUGUUUUGUGACAAAUGUGAAGUUUCUCUGUAGUUGGCUAUGGAAAGAGAUCUGAGCUAGAGCUGCGGAAGGGAGGCAAUGGAAAAAGAUAAGAUGGUUUACCCAUCCUGUCUUAUGGGGACACCACAAAGACUCUCACAGUACAGCAUUCUUUUUUCCUCCACAUUUCCCCUUAUUGCCUUGAGAACAUACUAUAAGGUACUGAACAUCAAAAACAUUUUUUUUUCUAUUCUAAUAACAUUAUACUGACACUGUUCUUAAAAUCCCAAAGGACUUUUGUAUCAUUAUUUCACCUGACUUCAUAUCAUUAUUUUGCAUAAUUUCACCUCUAAUUUCCUCAAAAUCCCCUCUCUCAUUUUAUAGGUGAGAAAAUUUGGGUCAAUAUGUUAUUUAACCCAAUAGUCAAAGAUUUGUAAUAAGAACCUAGUUUCCUGAACUUUAGGCACAGGCUUAAUUACUUGAACUAGUAGAUUGUUUAUUUGUAAAUUACUCUUUAACUUUUCUAUAUUAAUUUAACAUAAACAAAAUGUGUAAAAUGCAUAUGCUUGUAAUAAAUAAAUAAUACUUUAAUUCAGGUUUUUUAACUAACUGAUCCUAAUAUCUGCUUCUAUGUAGUGGGAACUUCAGUCAUGUUAGUUUUCCUGCCCUUACUUCUGAGAAGCCCAAAAUUUAUUUUGUCACUUCUUUCUUUCAUUGGUCUAUUAUUUAAAAAAAAAAAAAUCAUAACUUGGCCUCUAUACCUCAAUGAUACUUCAGGGAACCAUGAGUUGUGUGUGAUGAUCUUUGUUCUGAUUUAUCCCGUGCUUCAAAGUGACUAUUCAAAAACAUAAAUCAGUCCUCAAGUUACCUCAGUCAGCAUCUCUUUCCUCCUGUGCCAACAUUUCUGAUUGAUCUAUUAUUUUUCAUGCAUUAGAGACAAAGACAAGACUCUUCGGAUGCCUCAUCUGUCCCUUCUGCCUUUAUUGUUAAUUGCAUUGGAAUGCUUCAUAAAUUACCCAAUUUAAAUUUCUUUUGCUCUCCUUAUCUCUCUCUCUCUCUCUCUCUCUCUCUCUCUCUCUCUCUCUCUCUCUCUCUCUGUCAUUACUUUCUUUCAAUGACCUGAAAUCUUGCACCCCUAUCCCACAGGAAACCCUUCUUUUAAUCAUCAUAUGUCACAAUGUCCCUAUAUGUUUAAAUUUGUAGCUUGGUUAGCAUUUUUUUCCUCAAUAUUUGCACUUCCUUUAGUCACUUUCAAUAUGCAUUUUAUCCAAUAAUCUAUCCCUGAGCCACUCUUCCUCCAAAGGUCACCUAUGACUUUGUCUAGUUUUUUUUUUUUUUUUAAUCAAUCUCCAUUCAAACAACCUCUCCUGAAGCAUAUGCCACUGAUAACUAGCCCAUUCUCAAAACACUGUUUUCUCUAAACAUGGCUCCAGUUCCACACUGAUGUUUUAAAUAUAGAUAGUCCCUAAGACCAUUCCUGAUUGAGUACAAACACUGUGGGCAUGAAGUCAAAUAGCUCCUCCUUGGAGUAAAGGAGGUAUAGUGCUAUCUGGGUGACCAUCUGAGAAACUGAAAGCCUCACCAAGAGAAAAACAAGACACUGAGUUGAAAACAAGGGUGUGUGUAAAACUCCAAGAGCCCAAAGGACAACUUUGGAAUAUUUACCAUUGAUUAUUAAACCUGGGAUGUGUAUGGAGGCAAAAUGAGUCAGGAAAAAAAAAAAAAAAAAAAAAAACUCCAUUCAGCUUUACUGUCUGAUCUGUUCUCAAAUGGAAAUAUUUGUGUGAAAGAGAGAAUGUUUGUUUUUUAUGCACAAGAAGGUGACUUUGAUCUGCUAAGGACUGUGAGGGGUAAAAAGGCUUUCACUGUCCGUGAGAAAAAAAAUCUCAUUAGAAGAUGGAAUAACAUAAAGGAGAGUGUAGUAUCCAUUUCAUUUUUAUGGCCUUGGAGGAAAAAAGUCAUCAAGUUAAAGCUGCUUUUAUGCUGCACGCUUGCAUGUUGACAGCUGAGUCUGAAGAAUUUACACUGUGGGAAAACACAGUCAUUGUCCACAGCUCUGUACUUCAUCUUUGAAAAUGUGUAGUUCAUUUGAGAAUUCAGUUAUCAGUCUCUCAGCACUAAACGUGAGAACUGAUUUCUCCAAAUUAGCACAGAGGUUCCAUGUGGCAGGGUGCAGAAACCAGGCUGCUAUGAGAUGGAAUGAAGGGCCUGGAGAAAUCGAAUACCAUCUCAGAAUGAAAUUGGAAACACAGUGUUUACACACUCAUGCAUAAAAUAAAUGAGCUUUGAGGAAUCAGCACAGACUACACAAUCAUCUGUGUUGCCAGAAGGAAUAAAUUGCCUUGUAAGGUAUUUUUUUCCAGGGGUCUUUGAAGCUAUUAAAUGAAUUUUGGCAUAUGCUUUACUUUACUUUUCUCAAAUAGGUUCAACUCUUUGGAAGAAUUAGUUCAUCUCUUUUAGAUGGCUCUUAAUUUUUUUUUCCUGCUCAAAAGAGAAAAACAAAAUAUAACUAAACUAAACUAAACAAACAAACAAAAAAGAAAAGAGAAAAACAGCCAUCUAGAUUUGGAGCCUAAAAUAUCUUAAUUUUUUUAAAUAAUGGAAUUUUACUGCUUCCAUAAUUAUUAUUUAUUUUGCAUUUUUAAAACAGUACCAAUAAUGUUUCAAUUAUAGUUUUAAUGGAAAGAAAUGGGAAGGAAUGAAAGACAUUUUUAAAAGAUGGAGAAUCUACUGAGUUUUUACAUAUUAAUAUAUAACAAUAUUUUAAAAAAUUCUCAUCAUGUACACGAAUCCCUAUUUUAAGUUUGCAAGGGGUUAGAAUGACUUUUGACCUCAUAAAAUACUAGUGUGUGAAUUUGACAUGAUAUACCAAAAUUCACUGUGUUUUUCUUGUGCUACGUGAAUGUUCUUGAUAUGAUAUGAUUUUAAACUUCAAUUACAAUUUCAGCUUACAUUAAUUUGAAAUAAAGUAAAUUUUUUCUGUGUCUAUUUAUAGUAAAAUAAGCAAUAUAAGUAAAUGAAUUUAUGCUGCUGUGAUAGAAUUUCUUAACAUUAAGUCUGCAAAUACUACUAUAAUUAUUGUACUCAUUACCCAUUCAUUAGAGCAGAUGAAGGGCUAGUUCACAUUUAUUUUUCUAUUUGAUGAAGACUGUUUUCCAAUAUUGUUUAUCUUGGAAUAAUGUUGGGAUGCCAUAUGAUUUGAAAGAAUGACUUUCAAAUCUUUAAAGUAAUAAAAUUUUCUCUUGACUUUUGACCUUAUGUAUAAUGAAAAGAUAAUACUACCUACCUCGCAUAGUCAUUUUUUUUUAAAUGACCACAUAACAAUAUAAAAAAAGAAAUGAGCAAUGGCUUGGCAUUUAGUAAGCACUUAAUAAAUGUUAAUUAUCUCUAUAUCCUUUUCUCUUCACCUGGGUGGAGCAUGCUUGGCAAGCUUUGUCAGAUUCAUUCUGUGAGUGAUUAUAGUUGAGCCAGGGUGAAAGGGCAGCCUGCGUUGGGUCUAAUAUAUGAAACCACAUGGAAGCCUGAGAGAGCCAAGGCCCGGUGAACACAAACAGAACUAAUUACAAUGCCUGAAGUGUGAGGCCUUCCCACUCGUUUCAGGAAGACCUGUUUUCUUUUAGCGGAAUUUCCUAAAAGGAUCAUGCCUGUGGAUAGACCAACCCACUUGUUUUUUUUCUGUAAUUGGAAUGGUAUGCUAGUCAUGGUUCCACUUCCUCUGCCCUGUAACAUUCAUACCAUGCUGGUUGGCCCUCACUGGAAUCAGCAUCAUUUCCUCUGUGGUCACGUACUAGGAUAUUGCAUGUUCUCCUAAGAUUCAAAUUUCUCCACAAGAUUUGUUUUUAGAAAAAUAGAACCAAGAAACAUGACUGCAGAUAAACUCUGAGUGUACAAAUUGAUAUUAUGUGGUAUCAGAUACCAGUCUCAAAUCACUCAUACAGCUCUUUUAAUAAACUCUUUUAAUUCAACCUUGUUUGAAGGUACUUUUUUAUUCUUUAAUAAGUAAAAUAAAUUACUCAGUUUUGCCUAAUGUCAGACUUCUUAAUGAUGUCAUUUCUCUAGCUGAAGUAAAUUAGUAAUAUUUUUCUGAUCUUUGGAGAAAAAGCCCUCUGUAAGCCUUGCUUUAUGUUUAUAUGAGCAGAUAAAUCUUACAGAAGCUGAGCGAUGAUUCAGUUAAAGUAGAAACAACAAGGGUUCUUUGUGUCUUUGAAGAUCAUGAAUGAAAUAACUAGAAUGUAGUAUAUUUUAGCUUUUAAUUACAUCUAUGAGUUCCCUCUGUACUCACUGUUGUCAAUUCUGCAGUAUCAGUAUAUAGAAUCUCACAAAUAAAAAUGACCAUAUUGGGCUGGGAGUGGGGGUAGUAGUUUGCCUAGAAUUCCCAGUACCACCAAAAAAACAAACAAACAAAAAAGGAAAUAUUUGUGGUUAUUUUUUUUUCUGAAAUUGAGCUAAAACAUGAAAAGGCAAUACUUUAAAAUAAGUAUUUAUAUCUAUACUAUUAACUUGGCAGUCAUCAUUAUGUUUUCUCAUGAAUUCUGUUAUGCAAAAAAUUUUCAUCCUAAUAAAGAAUGCACUCCCCAUAGGAGUAAAAUCUUUUCAAUAAAUAAAUAUGUACCAUGAAAUUAUUCUAUCCUCUAAAUGGUUAAUAAAAUCACUAAAUAUGACUUUAUUUUCCUUAAAAAGCUAAAAGUUACCAGUUGAUCUUCUUUUCAGAGACCUAAUUUUUUUUUUGUCACUUUUGUCUAGGAAACAUUACUUUUAACCAGUUUUAUUUGAAAUUACAUUGCAGAAAUGAGGAAUAGUGAAUAAAACCUUGGAGUAAAAAUUAACUUGUUAGUAGCAAUAUUCUAGAAAGCUGAUCUUUUUUUCAGGCUUCUACAAAAAUGUCUUUGAAUAAAAUUGUUAUGAUAUGGCAUUUAAUAUUUUUGACUGAUGAACUAAAAAGUAUAAUUCUCAGAUGUGGCAUAUUAGUCACAACGUGUGAAUAGCUUAUUAGGAAUUAAAUGGUGAGAGGAGGAAAAAAAAACCCUAAGUAUUAUAUUUAGUUAAGGUAGGCCUACUUUUAAAAUUAAAAUUGGCUAAAACUUAUAAAGAUGAGAGACUAACUUGGGGAACUCUUUAAAGUGAAGACAGAACCUUUUCCUUCUUGUUUUUAACAUUUUUCUCUCUCUUGUCUCACCAUCAGUUUAAUGAAUACAGAGCCUGUCUAUACCAAUUUCCUCUUCCAGAGUCACUACAUUCAGAGCUCAGUGGGCCUCAAUAGGGAUUUACUGCUGACUGGGUAAUCUGGGUUCCUGUGUGCACUGACAUCAAGCAAGAGAUUUACCCAGAGAAGUGGAUACCAUGACAAUGCAUGUAACCAUGGUGUGACCGGCCUCCCUGACAGGGCUCUCAAAAGCUUUCCCUCUGUGAAAACAGAAGCCUGUUUGCAAAUUAAUUAGUUUCUGGCGGCAGCUUGAUUGUUGACCCAGAGUUUGUAGAGUGGAAAAACAAUCAGAUUAGUGUGCUCAGGGUAAAAGACCACUGUGCACUUGCGUGUGGCUUGCUCAACUAUUGAAGCUAUGAAUGAAGUGAAACAAAUUCUAUUCUGAGAAGCCUAGGCAGAGGUUAAGUAUGAUGAGCCUGGAGAUCCCCAACAGCAGGGGCUGGGGAAUUAAAGGAUUUUAGCCAGAUAAAGCUGAAUGACAGGGAGCGAUGCCAUUGAAUUUUAAUGACAUGGAUAGUUUUGACCAAAAAAGCCACUUGUUAUAUUUUAAUCAUUCUGAGUGUAAGAGAUAGGUUUACAAUAUUCAAUUAAAUAUUCAAGGUAGGCUUGACACAAAUACUUUUAAAAUGGAAAAUUUCAUAAGCUUUCAAAAUGGAAGGUAUUAAUUAUAAUCUCCCCAAGGUAACAUGAUGAUAUUGAAAUGGAAAAAAAAUAUAAAGUAACCUGUUUUUUCAUGUUGAUAAAAUUAUUUUAUAUUUACCCCACUAUUGUAUAAGGCACAAACUUCAGAUGCCCUAUAAAAUUAAUCCCGAGUCAAAGAAAUGUUGACUCAUGAGAAUAUAUAUUUUGUCAUUUAUCUUUACAUAAUUCAGUUAGUAUAAUUAUAUCUUAAAAAGUUUGACUUCAACUUUAGGGCAAAGAAUUCUGGAUGGCAGUGUUUGAUGAUUUAAAUAAAUUUAAAAGUUAUUGAUUAUGCUUAAUUUUGUAAGAUUACAUAUCAUUUUAAGCCAUAUAUACUUUUCCUUUUUAGAUACAACUGAUAGAUGUCUCCCUAAAUACUGUAGUGAUUGCUAUCACAAUAUUUUUCAUUCAAAAAUCAUUUAUGUGUCUCCAUUUCAAAGUAAAUUGAAUGCAGAUAUUAUUGUUUAUCAAAUCCUUUAUCAUCUAAUCCUUAGUGACCUCUCCAAUAUUAAACACUACCAUAAGUAAUUCAAAUGGAGUCAGCGGUCCUCAAAUUUCUUCUCUUUUAUUUAACCUUACUAUUUUCCCAAUGGAUUUUAAGUAUUCCCCGCUUCCAACCCUGAGUGCACUUAGAAGCAUUUUUGUAUUUUUCACAGGGCCUGACAUCCUACUUCAUGCUUUAGUAUUGUUUGAAAUAAGAAACUUUUUAAUGACUCUGCUUCAUAGGCCCUGGAGUUAAACUGUCUCGAUAUGUAUACCAGGUCUACUCUCAAUUUCUUAUGUGACUUAGGAAGUCAUUUACUUAAUUUGUGUUCACCAGUGUUUAUACUUUGUGAAAAAAAAAGGGGGUAAUACCAAAGACUCAUAUGGUUUUUCUGGGGAUACAUGAGAUAGAGUAUGUAGAGUAAUUAGAACAGUGUCUAGUGUCUGACAAUAUGGAAAAUACAGAAGACAUAUGACAAUAUGGGAAAUACUAAAGGUGUUUAACUAUUUUGGUGCUGUCCUAUAUAGACCACCUCCAUGACAUAGUACCUAAUGCAUAUUUGGAAAAUUAAUGCAAUGAACCAAUCUCAAUCAUCCUUCCUUUGCUUAAUCUGCUCUCAAGCCAUUUUGUUUUCUUUGUUUUAUUCAAUUGAUAACUACUUCUAUAUGAGGCCUAUAUUUCCUUAGGAAGAUAUAUUUAUUUUUAGUAUUAAAAUAAUAUAUAAAAUAUUGCUUAUCAUAGUGUAUUUAACAAAACUAGCAGAAAAAACAAUGAAAUGAAAUAAUCAAGGCUAGAAUUCAAGUAAAUGUGUUUCUGUGUUAAUUUAGCUCUAGUAAAUACAAUACUUACCAUUUAAAUAAAGAAACCAUUAGUUUAAUACUUGUUAAAAAUAUUUUUUGAAGGACUGGGGUUAUGGCUCAGCUGUAGAGUGCUCACCUUGCACGUGCAAGGUCCUAGGUUCUGGGAUAAUGAUAGUGACCCAUGCCCUGUCCUUGGAUCCUUAGCACCACAUAUAUAAAAUAAAGUUAAAAAAAAUGAAAUUUUUGAUAUAAUAGUUAAGGAGAAGUUGAGGGCAUUUAUGACUGUAGAAAAAUCAUCUCUUCUGCAAUAAUUCAGUUAAACUAAACUUUUUUUCAUGAGGAGACAAAAGUGUGUGGAUUUUCUGGAGUACUACUGUAUAGGUGGGCAAGUGUAGGCAUCUGGCAUAAGAUUUCUGUGUCCUACUUUUCCCAAACAAAGAAUGAAAGUCGUUUCUUCCUCAUUUGGUUGUUAGAAGCACCAUGAACGAGAGAAUACACGUAAUACAUUUGGAAAAGUGAUUUCUAUUACCUAAAAAUAAAAUAUAACCUCAAGUUGAUAUUAGCUGGUUUCAUAAUAUGUGAGAAUUUCAUAUUAGGACAAUAAAACACCUAAAUACAUUGCAUCACCCAAAAUGUAGUAAACUGCACAAUCUCACAAACUGAGAAACCACAUAUUUCAAGGAAAGCAAUGAAAGUUGUUUAAGGGAAACAAGAGCAGAUGAAGUGAUAGUGACCCAUGCCCUGUCUUUGGAUCCUGGCUGUAUGUACAGGAUUUUUGCCUAAUGAGUUUUUCUCAUUUUGAUGAAAAUAAAUCCACUACUCCUUUCCUAUAAAGAAAAAAGAAUUUUUCUAAGGUUAGUGACAUAUUUACUGCCAAGUUUUAUAUAUAUAUAUAUAUAUAUAUAUAUAUAUAUAUGACAAAAAAGAACAUUGAAAAGAUUCUUAACUUCACAUAUCAACUAGAUACAAAUUAUAAAAUACAACCCAGGAAAAAGGUCUUUAAAUUGCUUUUCUGAUAAUGUUAGUAAGAAAGAUUAAAGUAUAUUUAGAUGCACUUAAAAGGAACAUUUUCAAGGUAAAGAUGUUUGGGUCACUUUAAGAUUAAGAGACUAGACAAAGAGAAAAUCAAGCCCCUUCAUUCCAGCCUUGCCUCCCAUUCCAGACUCUCAGCAAUGUAUCUCUUUCCCAUGGUACUUUGAAUCAUAUAUACACUUUGCAUUUUAGACGAUAUUAUGAUUAUUUUAAAACAUAUUAGUUUCAGAAUAAAGAUAUUCUUUAUUCUGAAUUAAGCUGAAUUAUUAUUUAUCUAUAGUAAUUUGUAAAUAAAAUAGAGGCAAUGUUUAAAAUUAUAAGUAGAGUUUAUAUUAUUUUGCUUGAUGAUUUGCUAAAUUAUAACUACUUUAGAUGUAAUGUAGGCUGAUUGCAUAAGGGACCCAUCAAAAUGUGUCUCUUCAAUAUGCUUAUAAAUGUGUCUAAAUUCAUAUGAAUCCAAAUAAUCUCUUUGCUCUUUUAAUUACUAAUUUGAAAAGAUGCCAGAGCUUCAAUAUCAGAGAGCUAUUUUAUGUAUACAUUUAUAAAAUUCUAAUAAGAAUGUGUACAGGAAAUUGGUGACAGCAGAUUUGGUUUUCCCUUAGUGAUCCACACAGCCUUUUCAGCUUACCAUACAAUAGGAUUUAAGUUACUUACUUCUGUUUUAGUCUUACAAUAUGAAAUGUUACAUUUAUAGUUCAGUGAACUUUAAUCUCAUUGUUCCUAAAUGUUAAGUAAUACCGAGGUUGAUAUUCAACUAAUGACUGUUCUUUAAUUGCUUAAUACUUAUAGAACCAGUGUUUAUUUUUCAAAUGUGUUUUCAAAAUACAUUUGUGAGAAAAAAAAUGUUAUAGGAAGAACAAAAUCUUAUACAUCAAAAAAUGAACUCUGCCAUAUGCAGUGGCGUACUUCUGUAAUCCCAGUGGCUGCUCUCAGCCUGAAAGGAAUAUCUUGAGUUCAAAGCCAACCUCAGCAAAAGCGAGGCACUAAGCAACUCAGUGAGACUCUGUCUCUAAAAAAUAGGGCUGGGGAAGUGGCUCCGUGGUUGAGGGCCCUUGAGUUUAUUCCCUGGUACUGCACCCCCCCCAAAAAAAAAAUGACUCUGAAGAUAUAAAAUGAAAGACAUGGAUUUUCACAAAACCUUAUUAAUUUUUGAAUAAUUUGAAGGGUAAUUUAGUCAUAUAGACAAUUCAAAUGAUAGAACCUUUUACAGAGCUAAGAUGGAUCAAGAAGACACUUAACAUCUUUGUUCAAUUAAUUUACAUGCUCACAGUAAUCAUAUCAAACAUUUUGAAUGAAGAGAAACUAUUAAAACAUAGGGGGAUAGUUCUGAGUACCAUGUGAAGGCAUCAAUAACUGAUAUUCCUGAAGUGUUAUUUCUCUUUAUUUCCUUUAAAAUCACAGGAAAGAAACCUCACAUUCUUCAUAAAUGAUAUCAAGGUAAAUACAGGCAACUUUGAUCAAGACUCGGUGCCCAUAUAAUAAAAUUAUAAUUGAAUUGCAUUUGAGAAAAUUUGAGAUAAUUGUGUGUUUAUGACUCACAGAGUCUGAAGUGAUUUUACAUUCUUUUCUCUUUAACUGAUUCUGCCUUAUUUUUUCCUAAUUCCUGAGUGAGAGUAACAUGCAAAAGGUAAAUUGAAAGAUUGUCUGGAGUUGGAAGUAUGCAAAAAGAAAAUAGAAAUAUGCAGUGUCAGACAAUCAACAGGUCCACCCUUGGAUGCUGCUUGGUACAGAUGUCAUUUGAUGGUGACACAGCAGAGGAAGCACCAGAGAGCAAAGUAGCCAUGUCAUGGAGAUUUGCAAAAUCUCUACCAAGUUUAUCAUUGUGUGAGUUAACUUUGUCAUUUUGCCUCUGUGGAUGUGCUGCAAACUCCAUGUAUCCAUACUGGUUGUAAACUAUUUAUGAAUUCACAAGUCACAUACUCCUCAAAAUGAUCAUAUUUUAUAAGCAAAAAAAAUAAUGCUACAUGCACCAGUAAAGAAUAUUCUGAUAGUAAGAGCAAAAGAAAAUUUCCUCUAGCUCAUUAAUGUGACUCAGGAAGCUGAGUAAGUUGUCAUCGUGCUGAUUGACUACAUGGAACUAUUAAAUGUUCUCUAGAAUGGAAAACAUAAGGAAUCAUAAAGAAGAAAAAUAGUUUUUAGUGGGUAAUUCAACUAUUUGGAAGGAAUCUGCAAAGGGAGGAAGGAAGAAGAGGAAAAGAAGAAAAGAAAAAUUUCUAAUGUAUAACAGUUACUUCCUGAUUCGAUUUUUGCUGCUAUCACUCAACUAUAAUAAACAACAUGCCUUGCCAUAAUAAAAUUUAUAACAUCACAAUUUGAAAUAAACAUCCACAGACUACACCAUAAAAUCUCUUUAAAGGUUUAACUCUGAAGUUUGUAAUAUAAGUUAGAUGUGAUGCAUAUUUAAGAUCUUUUUUCCACAGGUUUACAGAAUUUCAAAAUGUUAUUGGAACAAAUAAUAAUUGCUGAGAAUACUCAGAUUGUCAUUUUAUAUCUGACCAUAUGGCUGUCAUUAAUAACAAUUAAGAUAGUAUGUAAUAUGAUAUUAUAGAGGUAAAUAGCUACAUUAUUAAUGGAAGUUAAAAGUAGAUUUUUUUGGUAGAGAUUAAAUAACCCAUUUCAGUUGCUAUUUAUCCACUUGCUUUAUUUUUUUUUCCACUCUAUUUUUAAUGGAUAUUUUCCAUUUCCCCAAGUCUAUUCUCUUUUCAUCUCAUUCAGUGUUUCUUUUUAUCUGUGUGUAACUGAGGUUUAUCAAUCAACACAAUAUGUAUAUAAAUUGUUUUUCUCUUUUUCAUUUCCUGGUUGCUCUAAGUCUCUCCAUUAUUACUGGUAAUAAGCUACAUUUGCUAGCCACCAUCAUCUUACCUGGACAACUUCUAUUUUCUAUAAGCAAUGAGCACUUAGUAGGAACCAAGACUGUAGUAAGGAGCAGAGCUGAAUAGAGAGAUCCCAGGCCUCCAGGAUAAUACCUAGAGAACUUGUUAUGAAAUAGAAACUUGGAAAUCUUAACACAUAAUAUGCACAUAUUUACAAGAUAUCUUUAUAUCUCAAAAUCAUUAUUUAACUCAUGAAGUAAGGGAGCAGUUGCUAUCCAUCUCCCUUUUAAUGAAACACUAAUUUUUUUGAUCCAUUUGAUUUUCAGGCUUUUAUACUAAACACAAACUGCAGAUUUUACUAUCAAGUGAUAGUAAGAUAGAGUAAUUUAUAAGACAUUCUAACUUUUGUCCAAAUACGUGCAGUCCUUUCUUAGUGAAUAGAUAUGGAAGAGAGUUCAGAAAGACAAGAAAAUGGAAACUUUCUUCCUUUUUAAAUUUUGAGGAUAAAGGUGGGAAUCAGUUGGAAUCAGAAAAACUGUAUGUUACUUGUAGAUAAUUUGAUUAUAGUUUUUUAAAAUUAUGUUCUUUCAGUGACAUAUAUUUCUAAAUAUAAGGAAAUUUUAAGGAAAGUCAGCAAAAAUAAUGAAAGGAGAAAUGUUUGGUGGUUAGAAAGAAAGAGUCAAGGAAUUGAGAGAACUGGAAACAACAUUGUUUUCUCUUCAGUAGAAGUUGGAUAAUUGAUGACUUAGACUGUUAUAAAUGUAAAUAAGAUCUGAGUUUAAAAUUCACACAUGAAAUAAUAAUGAAUUAAUUAUUAGCAACAUUCUUGGCUCUUGAUACAGAGAUUUUUCUAGGUGUAUUAAGAUUUUAUUUUGUUGUAAGAUUUUAACUUUUAGUUUUAUUAUUUAAAGCAAUGGCUGAAUAGAAACUUAAAAACAUGUCCCAAACAGAUGGCUUCAAGUAACCAUUCCCACCUUAAUAAACUAACCAAAAUUAUUGCUGUGAAAUUAAGUAUAGUCAUUUAUUAAUUUCUCUGGGCUUUGUCAUACAAAUCUAUAAAUUUUAUUUGAUGUUAUAGUUUUAACUGCUUUUUCAUUUACAUAUAAUACUUUUUUCAUGAUCUCAACAUGUUGAAGAAUAUUUUUAAAAUUAACCUUUCUUUGGAAUAUAUGUAUAUGUUGCAUUUCUUGUCAUAUAGUCUAAGAAAUAUAUUCUAUUUAAUGUGUAAUUAUAUAAAACUCACUAGAGUAUUGCUCAGAGAUAAUAGUUCUAGAUAUUUUCCAACACUCAUUUCAUGAAAGAAUAUAGAAAUAGUAGAACCACUAGAAUGCAAACUGAACUUAAUUUUAGUCUUUAUUAUAGACAUUAGAUACUGUUUCUUAGUAUUAUUUAAGUAGGAUGAGAGAAACUGGUUUCUAUUCAAAUCAAAGUUGGAAGUAUAAAUUUGGUUUAGAAAACACAUUUAUUAGUCAAGAUCAGGUAUCUAUGAAAACAAUUCUAUAUUAGCACUCAAAAAAGGGGUGAGAAGGAGAGAGAGGAGGAAGAGAAGGAAAAAUAAGGCUGAUACAGGGCCUGCCCUGAACAAAAACCAAAAACUGAUUAUGGAUAUCAGCAGCUAUUUUAAAUUGCAUUCACUAAACUGUAGGUGCUAUGACAGGUAGUGCUAUAACAAAGCUUAUUCAAAAGCUUUAAUAUUUAAUUGAAAUUAUUUGAAGAAAUUUGUAUCACUAUAUAAGUAAUUUAAAGAUGAACAGAAAUCCUAUAUUGGUAGUAUAAUAUUUUGUUGUCUUUAAAGUGCUUCCUAUAUAAUCUCUUCAUCCUCUCCAAAUCUUAUGAAAUGGAAAACUGCUACUAACAUUUAAGGUUAGUAGCAACCUGUGAUGGAGUGAAAACUAAGACUAAACCAUGUCUACUGAAUUCUAGGUGUGUUCUUUUUCUAGCAUAUUCAUUCUAUUAUUUAUAAUUUUUUAAAAAUUGCUUAUUUCUGCUAUUUUCCAAUAUCAUUUAUAUAGGAAAUAUUUAACAAGUAUCAUAUAGAUUAUUGGAAGAUAAAGUAGAGGAACAUAGAUAUUAAACAACAAAGAUCUGCUGAAGUCAAAGGAUCUACAGUGGUUCACAAAACAAAGAAUUACAUUAUUUAUGCAUAGCUUAAAUCACUGAAAACUGAGCUUGUAUAAACCCUUGCUCCAAAAUGUGAGACUCUUGAAGUAAUUAGCAACUUGCCUUCCCUUGGGAGUUUGCUCAAAAUGCAGAACUUCAGUAACCAUCCAAAUGUAUUAAUCCAGAUCUGUACUUUAUUAAGUUCUCUAAUUAAAAUUUGAGAAGGUCUAAACUAUCAAGCUAGGUGACAUUUUGUUUUGUUUUUUUAAAGAGACAUGGAGAUACAAUGGCUUUUAUGCCAUUGUACCUCAACAGCAGAUGUUCUUAUAUCUGAAUGUUUAACACUCAAGAAUGUGUGUGUUGUGUUGUGUGUGUGUGUGUGCGUGUGUGUGUGUGAGAGAGAGAGAGAGAGAGAGAGAGAGAGAGAGAGAGAGAGAGAGAGAGAGAGAGGUCAUACUUAGAUUCAGCUUGCUCAUGCUCAUACUGGAGUCUAAUUGAAACUGUGCAGUUCUAAUAUUGUCCUUCUUAAAUUAUUAACUUCUGUUCAUUUAAAAUGAGUAUAUAAAUAUAAAAGUGUAUCCUUUGAACAGGGAAGAUGGAUUUUCAAGCAACAGUAAGUAAAGUCCCAUUUUAAGCUGCUUGAAACAAUGCACUGAGACAGUGUCACAUUAAAACAGCUGCAAGCACCCUUUUGAUGGCCUAUAAAAUCUUCCACAACUACAUGUCCCAUAAAAUGUUAAUAGCAACAUUUAAAAUAUGGGGGAGGUCUGGUUACUUCUAGGUUUAAAAAGUAGUCUCAAAUAAUAUUAAAAAAUAUUUUCAGAAAAUAUUAAUAUGAGUUAACCAUCUUUCAUUGGAAUUAGGCUAGAACUAAUUUUAUUUUAAGUGAUAAAUUGGGUGAUAUAACAUUGACAUAGUAUAAAAAUGUAUAUAAUUGUCUGUAAUUUCCAUUUAAAUAUCUUAUUUCCAAAUUCUCAGUAAAGAAAAAUGAGGUAAAUUUUUAGUGCAAAACCCAGAAUAAAACCCAAAUAUCAAAUCACAAAUUAUAUGUCUUAUGUGGCAACAUUACAUUUUAAUUUGCAAUAUUAAAUUUCAAAUUAUAGUUAUGUGAUAUCAUAUAUAUAUACACAUUCAUGAGUAUUUCCAAUAUUAAGCACUCUCUAAAUUUCAUAACUAUAAUAACAAUUUUCUUACUAGUUUAAACAGACAUGAUCCUUAAAAACCAAAAUGAUAAUAAUACUUUAAUUUCAAUAUUAAGAAUAGGAAAGUACAAAAAAAAACAAUGCAACUUGAUGUGAAAUUUGAAUUAUUGCCUCUUAAGGGAUAAUAAAUUCUUGCAGAUUAAACAGGGUGUGCAAUAAGAAUUGUUUUCAACAAAAUCAAAUUACUUUGAAAAUUAUGCCAUAAAUUGUCUCCUUUUCUUGCUUGAAUUUCCUUCCCUGUAUAAUUAGACAUCUUCAAGAAUCUAAACUAUUAUUGUCUCUUAAGAACAAAAGCCACAGAAACUGCUAAUUAUAUUGCAGUUAAACAUGUUUUUCUACUUUGAAGAGAUUCUGAAUUUCCGGUAAUUUUGAGAACAUUUUCUGGCCAGAGAAUGAUAGAAGUGCUGAACGUGUCUCUAGUGUUGUAAUCAGGAUAAUUAAGUUCUAUCUAUAAUAAUACUCACGUUAUUAAAAUGUUGCCAAGGCCUGUGCCCAAUAAAAAUUGACCUAAAUCUUUCCUGGUCCCUAAAUCCAUUAUUUUAUUUUAGGAAUCAGGCCACAUUCUUACAGCUACUACCCUUUUACUAGAACCCAAGGGCCUAAUCAGGGCAACUCAGAGGACAACCUCCCCUGCCAAUGUCACACUAUUGAGCUGGAACUAUUAAUAUACCCUAGGAAAUGGGCAGAUAUAAAAAAUAAACAUUCCCCAUUUCUCAUAAAAUUGACUUUACAUUUUCACAGAGUAAAAUAUUUUUGUCAUUGUGUAUUCAGGAAAUAUUUUAACAAUGAAGUUUUAUGAUUUUAUGAUAAUUAUUUUUUCUUAAUAAAAUUGCUACUGGAAUUCAAACAUACUAGUUUUGUCCUCUGUAGAUUCUGAGUUUUAAAAAACAAAUCAGAAAUACAGGUAUACACUUGUAUUUUAAGACUUUAAUAAAAGAAGAAAGUUAGUGUUUUGAAAUUGUUUUGCUUUUGUGUUGCUUAGUGGUUUUGUUUCCAAAUUUUACUCCAUCAAUAAACUUAAUUUUGAAGUAUAUAUAAAAUAUAUGAGCAAGAAACUUGUACAAUUCCUUUAAGAAAUGUUUCAGAGCAUAGGCAAAACUAGAAAAGAUUUUCAAGUUAUUCAAGUUAUGUGGUGCUAGAACAAUAACUGUAUUGGACAAAAAAAGAAACUAGAAAUGAAUAUAUAAAUAUUCAAGUUCUAAAUAAUACUGUGAUAUCAAUUCCAAUAUUACAAGGGUGAUUCUGUAAUAGAAAAUCUAUUAAAUCAAUUCAUUACCUUAAUAUUUAAAAAAUAAAAUACAAGCUUUCUCUUGUUCAAGCUUAAAAAAUAAGAUAAAAUCAAAUGAUUUCUUCUGAUCAGUUUAAAUCACGUUAACCAGUAGUAGAACAAAAUAUUCUCAACAUGAUAAAGAAAUAAUUGAAUACCAAAUAGUUACCAAGAAGAACAUUAUCAAUUCAAGUAAUAUUAUAUCAUUAGUUUAGACAAAUAUUUACAUGAGAUGCAUCCUAAACUUAUCCAGUUCUUAUUUAAACAUUACCAAUGAGUGAGAUAUAACUGUGAAUUUGAGAAAGUUGAAAGGAAGUACUACUAUGUUUUUCUUCCUUUUCAGAGAGAUUUAAAUCAUGCCUGUACUAUAUCUACUUGGAAUGUUGAUUUUUUUCUUCAUUUUUUUCUUUUUUCUUUUAAGCUCUUUGAUUAAGCACUGAAACUUUUAAAAUAUAAAUCACACACACUUAUAUGCACUUGUUUCAUCUCAUUUAAUAAAGCACAGUAAGCACACUGUCUAAAAAUUUGAUGAACUUUCUGGCAAAGGGAAGAAAAACGUGCUCUAAUUUAAAAUGAGGUAGUUUAGGAAAUGCCUUUUUUCUUGAAACUCUACCAAUUUUCCCUUUUAAGAGAAGGUUUUGGUGUGAGGUCAUUGAUUAACUAAAACCAUAUAAAUUAUUUGUUACUGGGAGCAACAAGUACUAUUUUCUUCAAAUAUAGUAAAGGAAGUCUUGCUGACUUGGUUUUCUUCAUUCAAGUUUAAAAGUUUCAAAGUUAUUUCUAAUUGUAUUUUAUGAAAAAUAUUUUAAUUAUUUUUGUGAAUAUGGACUCCAUUGACAGCAUGAUUUUUUUUUCAAAGAAUAGUUUUGUUUUUUUUUUUUUACUCAUCUACUUUAUAACGUCUCCUUCAGGUUGAAAUGACCACAUUGACAAAAUAUAGACAUAUGAAUAUCUUUCCUCCAAACCUUUUCCGUUCUAUAGAAAUUCUUUGGGAAAAACAACUUGCUUAAGUCUUUCAUGUAUUUAUAUGAACUCAAAAUCAAUAUCAAAAGAGAGAGGGAGGGAGGAAGGGAGAGAGAGAGAGAGAGAGAGAGAGAGAGAGAAAAACCAUUGAGAGAUAAAUAAAUAAAAUAUUCUUCCUGGAGAUUAUUUACUGCAUGAAAUUCUAUCUGAUCUUCUCAAAUGACAAAAAUAAUCUUAUUUAAUCACACACCACUUUAUACUUAGCAUCACUCAAAAGCAUAAUAAUAUAAAUAAUGGAAGGGCAGUUGAAAAGGACAACUGAGUAUAUUCACAGUAUGAGUUUAUUUAUUGGAGAUCUAAUGCAAGGAAGCAUCUAUAAAUAUGGCUGUUUCCUACAGUUAAGAUAUAAUAAAUAACAAAAAUUAUAGAAAUGUCUGCAAACAUUGUAGUUCAGGUAAAUUGAUUAAAUCUAAGGAUAUCAAAAUAUUUCUAACCCACAGUUAACAUUACAAGACACAGACUUCUAAACCAUUAUACAUAGUGCACUUGUAAAUAACAAGAUACCAUAUACCAUUCCCACAAUUUGCAAUGGAAAAAGUCCCUCUAAAAUAUGGAGAAUAAGGCGCUUAAUUAUAUCAUUUGUAUUUUUAGAUAUCAACAAGUUCCCUUUUUUAUAGCCAACCAGUCUCCUUAAAACGUAUCUUAUGCUCAGCACUAUGUUCCUGCAAUUUAAGGUAUUCACCAUGAUAGAAAAAUGAUCUUAAAGUGAUAUGAUAGGUACAAAUUCAUCAAUGAAACAAUAAAACUAAAACAUGACAGGCUUUAUUUAAAAACAAACAAACAAACUUUAUCACUGAUUUAUUUCCAAAACAAUUUUACCAUCUAUGGACAAUUUCAUUAUGGAAAUGUUCCUUUUUGAGGUCUGGGUUGUUAGCUCAAUGGUAGAGCACAUUCAAAACCCUGCAUUUAAUCCCCAGUACCAAAUAACAGCAACAACAAAAGUUCCUGUUUACAUAGAAGAUAUUAAAGACCACAAUAUUUAAGUAAAAGAACAUUUUUGUUAUCUAGACAUAGAAAACUAAUUACAAAUUGAGAUUUUACCAUAUAAACUUGCAUCUCUGAAAAUCUCUAGUACUUUUAAACAGGCUCAGUUAUAUUGUUUGAAUUUUGCUGUAGUUUAAGACUGAACAUAAAUAUAGGUAUUGGUAAAAUAAAGUAAAUUACAUCAUCCACCACCAAUAAUAAUAAUUAUAUAUGCACAUUCAUUUUCUUAAUUUUAUCUUAUUCCAUAUAUUUGCUUGAGUUCACCUUUGCUACAAACUAAAAAGAAAAUAUGUUACUUUUUGUCUCAGGAGACAUAGAAAUUUUUUUCUAAUAGUUUGAAAUUAAAACUUUCAAAUAAAGCAAAGAUAAAAUGAUCUUACAGAACUAUAGCUUUGUCCAUAACCUAGACUAUGCAAAUUAAUAAUUUAUUAUAAUGUAUCAUGUAUCUAUUCAUUCACUCCUCUCCAUUUACCAAUGAUUUUUUAUGAAAUUGAAGUAGUUUGAAACAUUAGUACACCUUUUUCAUAAUGAUUAACAAUAAUAUGCCUUCAAUUAUUUUGUUUUUUGAGUUAAAAUUUACAUAUAAUGAGGUGCCCAAACCUUAAGUAUAAUAUACAAGGAGUUCUGAUAAAUGAUACGCUUCUCUAACACAAACCCAUAUCAAAGAAUGAUUUGCUCGAGAAAAUUCUUGUGUACUCCUUAUCAGUGGAUCCCUUCACCCUGACCUCUAGAUAAAUCAGAUAUGCUUUUGUUUCACAACAGAUUCCUUUUGCCUAUUCUAGAAGUUCAGGUAAAUGCAAUUAUAUAACAGUUACUCUUGUUCUAAUGCUUUUGAAAUUCAUUUACAUCAUUACAUGUAUUAACAAUUUGUUCUUGUUUUAUUGCCAAAUAGUGAUCAAUUGUAUAGAAAUACCUCAAUGUGUUCCCUGUUCAUCUAUUGAUAGUAACCUAUGUUUAAUAAGCUUGCUAAAAUAUUCUUGUUCAAAUUUUGUGUGAACAUAGCAUUUCAUGUCUUUUGAUUAAAUAGCUAGGAAUGGAAUGACUGAAUCACAGAGCAGGUAAAUAUUUGUUUUUAUAAAACACUGCCAGACAAUAGUAUAUCCCCCCCCCUAAAAAAUUUAUAAAGAAAAAUGUUGAAUACUGGAUUGGCAUUAACAUUUUUGAAGAUUGAUUAAGUCACUCGGUAUCAAUAUGGAAGAAUGUGGGAAGGUAAGACUGAGAAGAAAAACAUAGUUAUUUAAAAAGUGGAAAAAUUUUAGGAUCUAAAUGAGGACAUUAAGGACAAAGGUAGAUAUGGAAGAUGUUUAAGAGGGAAAUUAAAAUUAAGCUUGAUGAUUGAUAAGAUGUUAAUGACAAGAAAAAGUCAAGACUAAUUCCAGGCUCCUGAGCUCCAAAACAUUUGAUGGCAUUGAGCAAGAUGAAUAAUGUAAGAGAAGAAGAUAGGGAGAAGAUGGAGAUAGUGAGUCAUUUUUUAACAAGAUAACAUGCAAUACUGCAUCACAGACAUGGUCAAAUGUCAGUCAAAAUUUUUGAUUAGUCAUAAAAUAACUUGGAAAUUAUGGAUCAGAAUUAAAAUAAUCAAAAGUGUCUAUGGGAAAGGGGAAGAAGCAACAAUUCUAUCAUUACACAGUAUUUUUUCAAAUGAGUAUCAUAUUUUUCAACUUUCUUAUAUUCUUGUAUUUAAUCCCAAAAUUAUUUUAUUACUUCGUAGUGGUCAUACAUACCCAUUCAAUUGUUCUUACUCACAAUGUAAUUAAAAAGAAUUUAAAUAGUGCAAGAAUAGUAAUUGAUGAAUAUACUUCAGUUAACUAAUUUGUUAACUAGUGAAUACAGAGAAACACCUAUAAGUAUUGUAGCAUACCUAGUUUUGCCUGACUAACAGCUAUUCAAGCCUCAGCAUUAAGAGUAAAACUUAACCUCUUUUUGAUUCUUUUAAUCCUUGUGUCAUUGUCUAAGGGUAGAGAACAAUGUUGCUGCUGCUUUUCCUAAUUUCUGAGUCUUUUUGAUAUUCUCUUCCAUUAUAGCCACCUGAGGUCAAUCUUCUACUUCUAUUUUCAAAAAGGAUGCUUGUUUUUGUUGACUUCACUGAUACUCUUCCAAAAUCAUUUCUGAUGAAAAGCACAUGGUUGAAUAAUGAAAAAGAAGUAUGUUAGUUAAGAAUGCUUCAUGUUUCACAGUAACAUCAUUGUAAGUCCAUUUGUGUGAAAUCUAUGAGGUCAUUUGAUGAAACAUAUCCACAUACUCACUUUAGCAUGAGACCUUGAGACAAAGAUACCAAAUGACGCCUUCCCAGUUCCACAGUUAGUAAGUGAUGGAACUAACCUGGAUACUCUGACAGUUCCUCUACGGCCAUGUGGGUUACACUAUCAUCUCAGUGAAGGCAGUUCACAAAUUGGAAACCAAUUGUAUAAAAUAGUGUCCUCUGAGUUCAAGUUAGCAAGUAUCUUUAAAUAUCCUAAAUGCUAGAGAAGAUUCAAAGAGGAAUGGUAUACCCUGACUCCAAGAACUUAAGAAGCACAGAUGUGAGUCAUUGUAAGGGAUAAUUUAGUCCAGCAGGUGUGACUCAAUUGAGAUGAAAUAUUAUUGAAAUGCAGAAGAAUUUCCUCCUAAAGAAUUUAAAGGAAGUAUUUUGAAAAGAUUUUUGAUAAGGAUCUUGGUAGAGGGGUUUACAUAAAUAUUUUAAAAUGAAAGUUUAGGGAAUCCAGAGUAAUGAGACAAGGGGUUCAGGGGCAAGUUCAAAAGGAUAUAAGCCUAGAAUUAUAUCUUGCGUCCAGGGAGUAGAGAUCUUGAAGGAGUCUGAAUUGAAUUGCACAGCCAAAGGAAAACCAUCAAAUAACUAAGUCUAUAUUUAGAAAUACACACUGUCGACAUUGUGAAGUGUUGAUGGGGAAGAAGAACAACUUGAAGCUGUGGUGUUGGAGAGGACAGAUCGAUACUUUAGUAAAGAAAAGAGCUUAUAAAUAAGACAAAAGAAUUAAGGAAAAAAUAAUUCCAAAAGUAUAUCAGAAAAGAAUUGGUAAGAAUUGUCAUCAAUUCCAUGAUAUGGGGGAUAAAACUGGAAAGAUGAAAGUGGAAAACUGUUUUCUGUCAAUGACAGGGUCCAUCAGAGAAAUAAGGCAAUUAAUUUGAUUUGACAUUGAGAGUUGAAGGCAUUGCACUGCUAGUGAUGUUUGUGAUAACUUCAUAUGUUUAUCCUUAUGAGUCCAAUAUCCCAAAGGCUUUUUUACUUCCUCUUUAGUAAUUUGCCUUCAGUUGAGGAAUGCUGUGGACAUUUGCUUUGGAUAUGACCAUUUGAUUCAAAUAGCCUUAUUUUACGUGGGUAGAAAGCAGUAAACUUUUCCACUAAUUUUUUUAUUAAUGUUAAGAUCAAAUUUCUUCAUUAACCUCAUACACCAAAUAAACAAAUAGUGUAUAAGUACAUGCAACUUAGAGACACUGUAAAACCAGGUUUGCAGACACUUGACACAACUUAAGUACUAGAAAGAACUCAACCUUUGCUCUUGUCCUGGCUCUGCCAGUUACUAGUUUGUACUUUGAGCAUUCUCUGCAUCUUAAUCUAAGGGUUUCUUUCAGAUUGGGUGUGGAUUAGAACAAUGCAUACAAAGCACAACAAAGUGGCACAAUGAACAGUAGCUCUUAAUUUCAUUUACCUUUUGUGUUUAGCUUCUAUUUUAAUCAGCCCUUUUCUCCAUCUUGAUGUGAUUCCUCUUGAACCUUUCUGGGGGUUAAACUGUUCCAAAGACUGUUCACAGUUUCCCAGCUAGCUAAACAUCAAAAGUUUUUCCAGGCCUAUUCCCUGGCAGCCAGAGGUUUUUCUAUUCCACAGCCAAAAAUGAUAUGUCUACUCUGCUUAAGCUGUUGGCUGCGAAUGUGAGAUGACCUUAUACUACAUUCCUUGCAUUCUUAAUGUGCUGGAAGUUCUCAUUCAUGGUCUAUUGAUUCUUUGGGGCUUUUGUUUUCCCUUGUGUUAUGGCAGAGCUGAAAGGGAAGAAUCCAUCCCUGUGGCUGCCAUCCUAGUAUGCUGGCCCUCAUCUGGUGAUGAUUUUUCCCUGUUAUCAAUUUCCUAGACAGUUACUUUGUAAGUAUUUUGAAGCCCGAGGCCUUGAUAUUGGGUUCUAAAUAGCAUUUUGACAUUUUCAUAAUUUACAAUUAGUCUUUGUUUUCCUCCGUUGUCUUUAACAGGUUUGCAACUUCCUUAUCAGCAGGCAUCUGAUUCAACUUGCUUUCACUAGCAGUAAAAGUUUAUGUUACCAUUAACUAACUUUUAAACAUAUAUACUUUGUAGGCUGUUUCACCAAGUUUUUUGAACAGUGUUAUAAAAUAAUAAUGGUAGUAAUUUUGAAAGCCUAUGCUAUGUUGGAAAUAGAUGUAGAUUAUUUCCUAAUUCUUCUAACACUUCUCAGAGAUAUGCACUUGCCGAGAGACAAGGAAACUGAGGUUAGUUGACAUUUAAUUGAUUUUUUGGACAUUAUAUAUCUAGUGAGUGGGAGAAGCCUGUUUUCAUCCAUUUUCUCUGCAUUCUAUCACAAAAUAAUUUUUAGAUGUUCAAUGAAGGAAGAGCUUGCCUCUUUGUUGUUUUUUCAAGGGUUUUCUAACACCACCAGUCAUGUCAGUGGAAUCACCUUUUAAGUGGAAGAAAAUAAGAGUGUGUAUUUUUAUUUUGGUACUAUCCUAAAGCCUUCUUUUAACCUCAUAGAUGGUGUCACUAUUGAUUCAGAGAGAUAGAUAAUUUGGGGUUGUUUUUUUGACAGUAGAAUUAAUUUUCUCUUACUCUGCUCUGGAGCCUCUAACAUGCUUUACAAGAGUGAUGCAUGAUAUGAAACUCUCUAGACUUUGUGGCACUUGUGCAAGAGCGAUUAAAUCAUUAAUUCCAUUCUCUUUUACAAAUGACCUAUGUAUAAUUUAUGUCUUAAGAAACCAAUACCUAUCCUAACUUAAAUUUAUAGAUAUUCCAAAAGCUUUAAUUCAUCAUUUUAUAACUUUAAUUCAUUUUUAGAAAAAAAUAUUUCUAAUCCUUGUCCUUUUGGGGCUUACUGGUGGAAGGAAUAGGUCCAGCCAAAUGCUCUUGCUAUAGUAGAGAUUCAGAUUGAUUCUAAUGCUGAGAGCAGCAAAAUGUGUUCAUUAUUUAAAUAAGCUUGAGCUGCCAAGUGAAUCAUAAAGGCAGCCGCAUGUCCUGUGCCAAGGUGUCAUUUUCAUUAAGUGUGAGAUUGCACCUGAAGGACAGUUUAAUUUGCAGCUGCUAAAAAUAUUUCAACAGAGUGGUACUGUUACAAGUGGCAGGUGGUGCCAAACAUGAAUUUUGCAAGAAAUGCCAUCUGUGGGAUGAGGUGUAGAAGAAUGUCAAGGGGGUGGUAAAAGAGAUAAAGGAGAAGAGAAAAGAAUGGUGUAUUUACUCAGUGUUUAAUGCCAUUAUCAUGACUAAAGAUUCCAUGCUUCACAUGAUAGCAUUGGACCAAGAUUAUUAAAUGGGAUUAUUUGUUUAGCUUCCACCAUGUGCUUAGGGCAUUGCAAAAGUACCAGUGUCUGUAAAGACAAAGUCUCUUCCCCAAAGGCAUACCAUUUAAGUUAUCCAGAUGAGAGACUCCUUUCUAACUCUAUUUACCUUUCAUAGUGUUUACAUUGCAUUUUUAUGCAGGCGAGAUUAAAGUGCUUUGAUCUUGUUUAAAUGGAUCUAUCCACUUUCUUUUGAUGUUCAGCUUUUAAUACACAUCAUCAACUUCCUGCUUCACAUUGAAAGAAAUCUUUUCAAAUUGUGUGAGCUCACAGAUUUUGUUAAGCCAUCAUCAUCUUGGAUUUUGCAAACUUCACAGAGAACAUUUCCAUGUGGAAAGGGGUCUAGGGGUGUUAUAGCUGUUUACAUUAUUAAAAGAUCUAUUUAUUUGGGUCUGUUACUUUCAAUGGACUUAGCCACAUUAAAAUAAAGAAUUCAUAUCUGGAGACUGAAAAGGCAUUUUCAUCUUCAGUACUUUAUAGGACACAGAUUUUUAAAAAAACUAACUGGUGGGUUUGGAUUUUUCAUUUCUGCUUCCCAUUUGAGGGAAUAACUGAGCAUAGAAUAGCUUCCUUUGUGAACAUCAUGAACUUUCUUAGCUUUCUAUGGAGAAUUAAUAAAGUAGGUCAACUGAAUGAAUUUGGGUAAACUUUUUCCAUGGGGAGUUUUUGAUGACAAGUUAUUGAAUUGCUUGUAGUUUCUCAGGAUAAUGGUAAUCUCUGACUUCCAACAUAUGUGUUGUUUUUAGCUACAUAAAAUGGACAUGUUUUCCGUUAUUUUAAUCCUAUUGAUGAAAUCUAAUUUUGAAAAAUUGCAAAGAGAAAAUUAAUUUACCAUAUUAAUUAUAUAAUGUAAAAGGAUAAGAUCAAAGAAAAGCUUCUUCUAGCUUCAAAGGACAUUCAUGAACUUUUAGAAAACAUUUUGAAAACUUGCUGUUGUGUUGUAACUUUUAGGAAUACUUUAAAUUUAAAGAAGCAACAUCUAAGCAUUUCUUUAACCAGGACCCUGAGUCUUUUUUAAUCUAUGAGGAGCUUGACCUAUCCAGAAAACUGUAAUAAACCAUACUUUAAAAAGCAAGAAAAAUGUGAUUCCUUCUUUAAGAAAAACCUAUGAAUUUUACUUCUGGAGAUUCAUUCAUUCAUUCAUAUAAUGAUUCAUUUAUUUUGGAACUAUAUACUGUUUUUGAAACUAUGCUUAAACUGGAAGGAAAAAAAUAGUGAGAUUAGCUAACAAAAAGACAGGAAAAAAAACAAGUGAUUAAAAUAGAGUUUAAUAGAUUCUAAUUGUAGUGUAUGCACAGGUGCUGGUGAAUGAUUUGUAUGCUGAAAGGCGAUAGACGGAACAACAUGGUUAGGGGAAGGUGAGGCUGGAGGCAGGGAAAACAGAUUGAAUAUGCCAGGAUAGAAAAGAUAAAGUUAUAUAUUUGGGUGUUGCAGUGGGAAAGAUGAAAAUAAGCUUGGGGGAAAACUGUUAUAUAUAGAUGCUGAAGAGGAGAGAGGAGAGAUAUAGGAUAGGUAGCUAUCAUAAGAUAAGUAUGAAAAUGAGGAAAAAAAAUAAAAAGAAUUGAAUAUUAUCAAAGAUGAAGGAAACUUUCUUUCAAUACUGGAAACGUUCUUUUUAAUAUGGGAACAGAAACUUCUAUUCAAUUUUCAAACAAUAUUCUUAUGAAAAUAGUGGAGGAGGUAUGUUCUAGAAUGAAGGAUUAAAGAAGGGAAACUGUAGUCAGUUCCACUGGAAAGAUAUGUCAGGGUUAGUUUGUGGAUGACACUCAUUGCCCUUAGUUUAUUUUCUGUGGGGCUGACUAUGAAUAAUGAAACUGACAAGCUUUUCCAUUUCCCUCUUGUGCUAGAAUAUUUGGAGCCAAAAUUGUGACCCAGCUCAAGUACAUGCAUUGAUCAAUGUGAUAUGUACUUUCAGCCUUAUUACAGGCUCAGAGUAACAUCAAUCUUCUUGUCUUCUUUGCUUGCCUCAGCUAAUUUAUACUACUUUGUCAUAUCUAUGACACCUGAAAUUUGUUCUGGAAAAUGCAUGCUAUAAAUGCAUAUAUUUCUAUAGGAAUGUAUAAAUGGCUUAUACAUGAUACAUGUUGAAGACCAGUUAUUCUAAAAAUAGUUAUGUAUAAUAAUAAUAACAUGAAUUAUGCUGUCAAAAAGAGAAAAAAAAUCUAUGAAAACAAUAGCAGAAAAAAGUUUGAUAAACUUAGAGUGCAAAAUGGACUACAGAAGGAGGAGAAAGUUUAAGGUAAAAUAACAAUUUACAUAUAGGCCUUAAUGAUGUCAUUAAUCAAAAUGAGAAAGGUAGGAGAAGUGGGUUUGAAAGAAAAGUUGAUGCCUUCCUUACUAAGGCAUAAUGAAUUAAAGUUGCAGUGAAUUAUCUAGGAAAAGAAUUUAAACCAUAAUUUUGAAAUGUAGAAUGAGAUACAGGAAGAACAAGAAGGUUAUUUCACCAUAAUUGAGGCUGUGGAAGUGAACAAAUUCUCACAGAGAAAUAGAAAUAUAGGAAAAUUAAGAAUACAGAAAUAAUGGAAGGAACACUAGGAAAUGGUUUCUUUUAUGUAGGAUUGGGAAGAAAAAACAAGUACCCAAAGAGAAAUUGAGAAAGUUUAAGUUCAGAAUCAUGAAAGCCACACGAAGUCAGAAAAGCAAUGAAAAUUUCAGGAAGACCUGAAUACCUUAUUGUGCUGAUCGCUGAAGACAACUAAGGAGGAUGAUUUGAAAGCUUCUCUUGCUUGUCAGUGAAAUAGUAGUGAAUGAUACAGAAGGCUAAGUAGUAAAGACACAAGAGAGCCACAUGGAACGUGGGGCCUGCCCCACCGUUCUGUGGUUUAGUGGAUACAAGAAACUGCACGGUGUCUGGGAACUUCUUUGUAUUUUCCUUUUACAGAAUAAAGACAUUGAAAAAUUGGGAAAGACUGAAAACCCAGGAAAUACCUAUUUCCCUUUGUUUCUACAUCUCCCCACUUGCUAAUUUCUUCACUUUUCUUGGGGCAUAGGGUCCAUUCUCUCUCUCUCUUUUUUUUCUUUUACUCUGUUAUCUUCCUAAUCACUCUAUCAGCUCAAUUUUAAUGACUUCAGGUUUAGUUCUGAGCUCUUCUUAUCCAUGAUCUAUGGGGCAGUGUCACAGAGCUCUCCUGUUGGACAUACUGAACUGAGCUCACUCAGUUCCCACUCACCUAUCUGCCUGCCCUUCCUCAGGUGUUCCCUGUCUCAGUGACUCUUCUCCAACAAAUAGUUUGGAUCAGAAGUUUCUUUAUUUUCCAUGGUUUUUGUUAGUACUCCAUACAUUCAGCAGCCUGUUGGUAAACAUGCUUCAUUAAUUCUGCUCUCAAAUGAUCCCUGCCUCUGUCCCUUUCUCUGUUCACUGCCCCUAACACAUCAUUUCUCAUUUGUGUUUCUCUCACAACCUUUAAAUUGGUCUUCCUGCCUUCAUUCUUGCCUCACUAUAAUUUUUUUUCUCUGCAGUAUCCAAAGUGAUUCUCCUAAAAUAGUACCCUGAUAAGUCAUUAGUAAGUUUAACAUACUUCAGUAUUUCCCUCCAGAGCCAUUAGAACAUUUCUGGAAUCUUGCUUAUGUGCUCCUUCUACCUGAGGCACCUGGGUCAUUCUACAGGUCUUGAAGUAUAUGACAUAUCUUCUAAGAAAAAAAAUCACUGAUUUCUUCAAGACGAGAUCAAUUGCCCCUUCUAUUUCUAACUGCAUUAUUUUCAAACUCAUUAUUUUCAAAUUUUUUUUUUGCGUGAAGUUUAAGAAUUGGACUUGGCAUGGUGGUGCACGCCUGUAAUCCCAGUGACUUAGGAGGCUGAGGCAGGAGGAUCCCAGUUCAAAGCCAGCCUCAGAAACUCUUAGAGGCUCUAUGAAACUGUCUCAAAAUUAAAGAAAAAAAAAAAGAAAGAAAGAGAGAGAGAGAAAAAGGGUUGGGGAUAUGACAGUGGUUAAGUGUCCCUGGGUUCAAGCCCAGGUACCAAAACAAACAAAUGAAAAAAAACAAACAAUCAAAAUAAGAAUUGGUAUUUAAUUGUUGGAAUUUUCUUGCUGACAGUAAUCACUCUUAGGACAGAAAGCAUUUCACCAUAUUAUCCUGUAAUCGUCCACAAUCCAGAGCACGGAGUAGGAACUUAGCAAACAUUGAUAAGUGAAAAUAUAAAUGGUAAGUGAAUGCAUGAAAAAUAAAGUUAUUUAAAUAUUGGCUUGAGAGUACAUAGAUGGGGGCCCUAGACUUAGAAAGGAGGAGAACAUUCUUCCAUAGAAAACAUAGAAAAGGAAGAAAAGAGAAAUUUGUGCUAACUAUAUGGCCUUCUUAUCACUCCAACAAACAAGACCAUUUUUAGAGAGUAAAAUAAGGGAUGAUACAUUAGCAGAUUUGAAGAAAAUAAGGAUUCUUUUUAAUAGUCACUGAUAAUAAAUCUAUAUUGAGGCACUAAAAGCACAUAGUUAUUUGUUUAGCAAUAUGAGUUCUUGUUUAGUUUAGGAAAAAUAGCUUGAUUUUAUAGCAAAUCCAUUUAGUAUAAUUAUAUUGUUUUUCUUGUCCUUGCUUGGAAGAGAAAUAGAGCAGGGAAGAAAAGUUCUAGGGUUUUAUAAAACAAGUACCGGGCAACUUCAGGAGUCCAAGAGUCAGGGAUCAUAGUGAGGAUAUUUGAAAUGACUGAUAGAAUGUUCAGAUUGAAUGAAGAAGGGAUUGACCAGUGAGGAAACUGGCUAAAUGGAUAGCAUAUGAGAAGACAAACCAUAAGAAGGAAAGGAAAGGCAGAAUGUGUAAGACUGAAUAAGUGGAAAUGAGUAGUGAUUAGAGGUUUCUGACUAAAAAGGAGAUUUUCUAAAUUGAAAAUAUUAGAAAAUGAAUGACUCCUUUAAAAUUCUUAGGAGAUGUACUAAAAUAGAGUCUUUAUUCUGAAAUGGGAAUGCAUGAUUUUCCAAAUCUACAAUAUAACUCAAAUUCCUUGGAUAAAUUACACUAAAUUGACAGUGUUUCCUUUCUAAUAAUCUAUUCUCCCAUAUUGAAAAAUUUGGUUCUCAUUUUUCCUAUAUAAUUUUAUUUUUGGCUCUAGCCAAUCCUAGGUGUGGGACUGUUGAUAAAACCUCCUUGCCUAUAGGAUCAGAUAUAAAGGAAGGUUAGGAUUGAAGGCUCUUCGACAAUGAAUGCGCCUGAUAACUUAUUUGGAUUAUUUCUCACUACAGCUGACUCUUGUAAAAUAAUAAUUACCAUACAAAUAUUUGAGACAAAAAUAAGAUGCUUGGUUAUCUUCUCCCAUGCCCAAACAUCAAGUUAUAAAAAUAUAUAUCAAUACAUGUAGUAUGUUGCUUUCUUUAUUGUCUGUUUUUUAUUUCUAACAUUACUUUUGUUAGAUUGUACAUUCCUGAGAAUCAGGAAUAGGUAUAUUUUUCAUUUAUUUUCUGUACAGUGUCUUGUGCGUAUUUGCCAACUAAUCAAAGGUAGUUGGAUUUACGUACUUGGAAUUCUAUUUUAUUUAAGUGCUUGCAUGAACAACUACCCCAAUUUGAGAGGUCACCUUAGAACACCUUUCUUCUCCAUUGCUCCAGUAGUAAAGUUGAAGAAUGUAUGAUUUCUCUGUCUACAGCUGCAUUGUAAUGAGAUUCCCAAGUUUAGUGUAUGAUGGAGGCUUCUUUCAGUAUCAUCACAAUGAAAAUAAUACAUCUGUUAACAUUUUACACAGUUGUUUUACAUAACUUAAUUUAAAAAUAUUUGUUUUUAUAUGAACUAUUUAUGACAGACAGGGUGAGUAGAACCCAAUUUGAAAUAACACAAUUUGAAAUAAAACCAGUUUGAAGUCAGUCAUCUGAGAGGGAAGAGGCUUUCCAAAGUUCACAAAUGUGAUGUGACUGAGCUGAGUUCUUGCAUGUAUAGGUUUAUGAUGGAAAUGUGUACACACACGUAUGCAUUACACAUGUACACGCACUUGUGUGCACAAAUGUAUUAGUUGUGUACACAUGCACAUAUGCAUUUCUAGGAAAUUAACUUCAUCAAUGCAGUACUACUAAUUAUUUGUUUUUUGUCUAGGAUCUAUGACUCUUAAUUAUUCUUCUUGUCAUUUCAUAUGAGACAAAUAUGUAUAUAUAAAUGUAUGUAUACAUAUGAACAAGUCUAAAUUUUUAAAAAACUAUGCUUCAGGUAAUUAUUAAGAAUCAAGCUUUGUUUAAUACAUCUUUAAAACUUCUGGUACUGAUUCUACUUUAAAAUCAUUAUUUGGUUAUUCUUGUUCACUGGUACACUGAACUUUCAAUAUGAAUAGGUAAUCUUUCAUAUGUUUUAUAUUACUUACAGAGUCUGAAUAAUUUUCCUGAAAAGGAGUGAAAUUUAGCCCUGUGAAAUAUAUUCAGUGCAUUGUCCCAGAGAAAACAUUAAAAGGAGAUUAUAAGCAUAGAACACAUGACAGAGAUGAUUAUUCGCAGGUGAAGAUCAGGAUUGAAUAUCUAGACUGUAAAUGGGUAAAGCUAGUUUAGGGAUUCUGAUCUCUUUCCUGGUCUCUUAAGAAUGGUGCUGACCCGUGUGUGUAUAUAUUUCAUUGUUACCUUAAUAAUGUAAUACACCAUGGAGUAAAGGUAGAUUAUUGUAUGAAUUUAAAUGUCUACAAUGUCCUAAGUGCUUUCAGCUUUUUAGCACAUUACAUGGUAAAGUCUUGAAGCCAUUUCAUAUUUUUUAUAUAGUCUGUCUGAGCCACAACCAUAUCAACCCAGUUAUUUACAAAGUAUUUUUUGAAGUGGGUUUCUGAACAUUAUGGAUGUAUGUUCUCACUAGUAUAAGCAGACAUAUGUUUUUAUGUUGUAGUUGUUGCUAUUUUUUCUUCUUCCCCUUCUUUCUUUUCCUUUUCCCUUUCUUCUGCUUCUUCUUCUUUCUUUUUUCCUCUUCUCUUUCCUCCUUGCACAGAUAUUUAUUGACUUCUCACUGCGUUUAAACUCUGCAUUUAAACACCUUGUCAAAAUAUGCCAAGUCUUGCACUCAGACUUUUUAUUCCAUUAAGAUGGUAAGGGCGAUAGGCAACUAACAAAUGACGAUUUGAUAGAUGAAUGGAGAAAAAGAGAGAUUGCUUCAGAUGUUGAACAGUGUUAGGGGAAAAACAUCAUGCAAGAAAAUAAAAUGAGAAUGACCAGGAACAAGGAUUUCAUUGCUUUUGAUGGAGUAGUCAAUAAAGUCAUUUAAUGUAAUAUUUUAACAAAGACCUGAGUAAAAAUAAGAAUCCAGCCCUGGCGUAUGGGGGCAAAGGGUUACACAGGGAAGCUGACUCUGGGGCAAGACCAAAGGAGUCCUUUCUUAACAAGUUUGAGGACCAGGAAGGGGAUAUUGCUCUGUAGGAGUACAUAGGAAGGAGAAGUAAGUAGGAGAAAAGGUGUGACAGGUAACAUGGACAAGAAUAUAAUCUUGUUGGGAGGAGUUUACAUUUUAUUAUAAGUGAGUUGGAAAGAUAAUGGAGGCUGGGGGAAGGAAGUGACCUGUCAGAGUAUCAUUGGCUGUCAUAUGGAGAAAGACAUGGAGGUUGGUAAGGUAGAAAGAGAGACUAGUUAGAAAUCUAUUUUAAACAAGAUUGACAAUAAUGAUUCAGAAAAGGAUGGUCAAAAAUUGUUAUGAAUGAGAAUAAUAGUGAUAGAAUACAGGACAGCAAGAGAAGACGCAAAAGUGAAGCCAAGGUUUUGGGCCUGAGUAUUUAUUACAAUGACAUUGUCAUUUAUUGUAUAGGACUCACCUUUCUCUUCCCACCCAUGCUUUGCUGGAAUCAGGAACACACCAAUUAAUAGUUAUUGUAUGCCUGAAAGGGAGACUAGAAAUGGUAAUACCACUUAAAAUCUGCAAAGUAUUUGAAUAUCCAGUAAUUCAUUUGCGUUGCAUAUGGUCACACGGAUGAUUUGUAUAUCUACUUCUAACAUAUGAUGUGAUUUGUAAUAUACUUUGGAAUGCAUAAAGAACAGUUCUCAUGUACUGAAAAUUGAGCUAAGGAAAUAUUAAUUUCUUGAACUAUAUAAAAAAUGGUUUAAGAGACAGUGAAAUGGACUUAAUCAUAUUCUUAUUAAACUGUGAAUUAAUACAUCUGCUGUAAUUUGUCUCUCAGAUCCAAGGUUCAUCAGUGCUCACCUCAUCCCAGAGAGUGACAACCCUGAAGAUGACAAAGUAUAUUUUUUCUUCCGUGAAAAUGCAAUAGAUGGAGAACAUUCUGGAAAAGCCACCCAUGCUAGAAUAGGUCAGAUAUGCAAGGUGAGGUAAAAAAAAAAACUGAAGAAUUGUCAUUGUCUACUCAUGUUUUAUUUCUUUUUAUUUCUCAUCAUUUUCAUUGAAAAUUCAAAGGAAAAAUGUCACUAAAAUGUGUCUCCAUACAAGAAAUAUUAAAAUGGUAGAAAGUGAUUGCAAAUGCAUUCUAGUUACUUUUGAGUAACUCUUCACAAUCACAAAUAUGCAAAUAAAGAUUAUGAGGUAACUGGUGUUAUUUCACAAUUACACUAAAUGAUCUUGGUUUGAAGUUCUGAAGAUGUAAAAUAUUUUCAUAGAUAUAGAGAUAUAAAUUAUAUCUAGGAGAAAUUUGGUAUUUUCGUAUUACAUUAUAAAGUUAGAUAUUAGAAUAAUAUUGCUCAUUAAAUACUCAUGAGUUAAUUAGUACCAGCAACUAGAAGACAUGAUAACAGUACUAUUCUUUUCUUCUGCAGUGUAUAGGGUGAAAAAAAUGUGGAAAAAAGUUAGCACAUAUUAAAGCAUCUUUCAAAAAGAAAAUCACAAAAACAGAUCCAAGAAAUUUUCAAAUUCAAUUCUUCCUUUUUUAGGGAAAAAUAACAAAACAUUUGAAAUAUUUUUAUGGUCUCUUUUUUUAUCCCCAAAUAAUCUAAUUCUUUGUCUCUGGCAUGUUCAAUUACUAGAAAAUUAAGUUUUUAACUCUCUGGGAAUGUACAAACAAAAUAUUAUUGAUAAAACUCAUUUCUCCACAAAAUAUAGAUAAUUUUUAAAGUAUUACUUACAAGGGUUAAAAAAUAUAGUUAAGAAAAUCAUAUAAACAAAAGUUAAAUCAAUGCACUAUUUUGGAAGAAAUCUAUAUGUUCCUUCAAUGUAUGCACAUAAAUAUUAUUUUAAAAGACUAUAGUAAAUAUAUAACAUUAUAAUAGAAUUUAUUGCUACAUUUAGAUUAAAACUCAGUUGUAUUUACAGUGAGAGUACACUUUCAAAAUAUUUUCUCUGGAAUGAGUUUCCUUUAUUAAGGUUUAUGCAAAUAUUUUCUCAGUGUGUUAUUUGUAAAGUAUAAAUUCUUUCAAUACCUUAAGCUUUGAAAGUAGUUGAUGCUAGCUUCUUUUAUUGGGGAAUAUAUUUUCAGUAUAGAUUAUGAGGCAUGGAUUUAUCAUUCAUUCAGUAAAUAUUCACUCUGUGCCUAUUGUAUACCAAGUAUUGGCUGUAAACCAGUAUUAAAAACAAAGAAACAACAACAACAACAAAAAACAUACACAUGGUAAUUAGGAACAAGAGACAUCAGUAAAACAAAACAAACACAACAGUAAAUAAAUGUUCAUCCAUGGCCGAGUGGUAACAGGAUGGGAAAAGUGAAGUGACUUUUUAAAGAUUAAUUGUUUUGUAAUCUCAAAAAAAAUGAAUGCAUCCUAGUGACUCGGGACACUGGAACAGGAGGACUGUUAGUUCAAAGUCAGUCUCAGCAAAAGCGAGGCACUACGCAACUCAUUGAGACCCUGACUCUACAUAAAAUACAAAAUAAAGCUGGGAAUGUGGCUCAGUGAACAAGUGGCCCUGAGUUCAAUCUCCAGUACAAAAAAAAAAAAUUGAAUGUAUUUUUCAUGUAAGACAUGAUGCUGUAAAAUAUGUACAUAUUGUAGAUAGAUAAAUCAAGCAAAUUAACAUGUGUAUUUCCUCACAUAUUAAGAAUUCUUUGCAGUGAGAAUGCUUAGAAUCCACUUUCUUAACAAUUUUAAAGAAUAUAGUAGAUUUUUAUUUUCUACUAUCACCAUUGGACAUUUAUUGUGAGAAGUUCCUUGAAUAAAAUUUGAGUCAAUGAUUUGACCAAUGAUAUAAUAAAAAAUAAAAAAUGAUAUUUACUUGUGUCUGGUCAUUUACAAUGCUUAUGGAAAUUUUGAAAAUUGAGGAAUUAAGAACUCCCUUGGUUGCAUAAAGAACUGUUUUUUUUUCUUCUGUUUUUUUAAGAAAGAUGACAAAUUUUUGUAUUGGUCUUAAUAUACAAAAAAAUAAAUAUUUCAAAUUAAUGUUUGCAUGCACAGGAACUAAAACUGGCUAUUUCUCCUUUUAGAAUGACUUUGGAGGACACAGAAGUCUGGUGAAUAAAUGGACAACAUUCCUUAAGGCUCGUCUGAUUUGCUCAGUGCCAGGCCCAAAUGGCAUAGACACCCAUUUUGAUGAACUGCGU